rnacentral:rRNA from 1 species
CAUGCAAGUCGAACGAGCGAGAGAGAGCUUGCUUUCUCGAGCGAGUGGCGAACGGGUGAGUAACGCGUGAGGAACCUGCCUCAAAGAGGGGGACAACAGUUGGAAACGACUGCUAAUACCGCAUAAGCCCACGGUGCCGCAUGGCACAGAGGGAAAAGGAGCAAUCCGCUUUGAGAUGGCCUCGCGUCCGAUUAGCUAGUUGGUGAGGUAACGGCCCACCAAGGCGACGAUCGGUAGCCGGACUGAGAGGUUGAACGGCCACAUUGGGACUGAGACACGGCCCAGACUCCUACGGGAGGCAGCAGUGGGGAAUAUUGCACAAUGGGGGAAACCCUGAUGCAGCGACGCCGCGUGGAGGAAGAAGGUCUUCGGAUUGUAAACUCCUGUUGUUGAGGAAGAUAAUGACGGUACUCAACAAGGAAGUGACGGCUAACUACGUGCCAGCAGCCGCGGUAAAACGUAGGUCACAAGCGUUGUCCGGAAUUACUGGGUGUAAAGGGAGCGCAGGCGGGAAGACAAGUUGGAAGUGAAAUCCAUGGGCUCAACCCAUGAACUGCUUUCAAAACUGUUUUUCUUGAGUAGUGCAGAGGUAGGCGGAAUUCCCGGUGUAGCGGUGGAAUGCGUAGAUAUCGGGAGGAACACCAGUGGCGAAGGCGGCCUACUGGGCACCAACUGACGCUGAGGCUCGAAAGUGUGGGUAGCAAACAGGAUUAGAUACCCUGGUAGUCCACACUGUAAACGAUGAUUACUAGGUGUUGGAGGAUUGACCCC